GCCAGACCGCGGGGAUGGGCCGGCGGCGGCCCGGGGACACCGCUGCCUGCGGGGACACCGUGGGCGGGGAGGGACAGGGCCCCGCGAAGGGCGCAGCAACAGCAGAGCGACGGUGGGGAGAGUCGCGAAAGGGGCCUCGCGUUCCCGGCCGCGGCGGCGAGAGCCGCCUACUUCUUCGCCUGCCCCCCCGAGGGGCGCGGGAAUCCGGGACAGGGAGCGGCUCAAUCCCCUCUCAGCCCCUGCGCCUCGGAGGGGGAGAGGCGCGUGGUCCCCGCCCCGUCCGGUCCCAGCGGCCAGGCCCCGGUCGCGCCCAGGUGCCUCGCGGGUGCGGAGCCGUGGCUGAUCCGUUCCGUGGCGGCAGGAGGCGAGAAGCUGCCCCGCUCUACCGGCAGCGGAGCGCUGUCCCGGGCCGCCCUUCCGCCCGCUCGUAAACAACCGGAGGUGCUGCGGCUCGCCCGCGUACCUCGGCACCCGAAAUCACCCCCAGGCCCGCCCGCGGUCUUCGCCGCGCACGGGCAAGAAGCGCCCGCAGCUGCCGUCGCUGUGCAGAGCCGGUGGCGUGCCUCGGGAGGGGAGCGGGGCGGGCAGCCGAGGCCCUGCCGGCGCCCGGUGCGCUGGUGCGGCGCGGCCCGGGAAAGGCGGCGGCCGCGGCGGAGGUGUGGUUGCGGCGGAGCUGCCGCGCUGGGCCCGGCGGCGGGGACAGGAGCCCGGCGCUGUCCGGCGGCGCCCCGCGGGCUAUGCUGGGGGAGCUGCGUGCCCCGGGCCGGGACACGGGAGCGAGCGGAGCGAAAACAAAAUGAGCGUGGUUAUCGGCAUCCGCAGGCGGAAGCGCCCGGGCGAAAAGCCGGCAGGGGAACGGGAGGCCUUUGGCUUCACCAAGGCAGCUCCUCGGUACACGCCAAUGUCAGGAUCCGCUGCUGCCGGGCCAGCCCUGCCCCGCAUGCAGGAGCUGCGUUUUCCCGCUGCCCGAAACGCCCGGAGCUGUGCGACUGAGAGCGCAAAGCCGUUUACUCGGCCGGUGCGCGGUGCUGAGCUGAGCAAGGCUUGGGUUGCACGUACUGAUGCCAGCGGUGGGAGAAACUUAAUAUAGCCUAUUGCAGAGAGUGCCAAGGUAUGGUUUCUGCAGAUUCUCGAGUCUCAGACGGUCAUCCGCUUCAGCAGAAAGAGCCUGUUAUCGUGUCAACGGAAGAGGUGCAAAACUCCGCAUUGGCAAAGCAAAGGACAAGUUGCUACCAGUAACACAAGAAACUGUUGUGUGCAGCUCUGUCAGCGGCCGCGUACCUUUUUGGCGUGUUUUAAAGGCGCCGUAAUUCACCGUUGUUCACUCCAGCCUAAACUCCUACUGGCAGCAAAGGUUUCCUACUACUAGCAGAGGCCCAUUCUUAAUAGAAUCAGUAUAGCUGCGUAAAAUGAUGCUGAAAAACAAAGCAUUUCCAUAUUUGUCUAAAAGAAAGCAUUUCCUAUAUUUGUUAUUAAAAAUAACGUUAUUUUUAUCAUAUCAGACCAGCUGACUGUAUUCUGGUCCAUUCAGAGCUUAAACUAAAUUGUAAGUGAUUAUUUUUCAAGAGCUACAGAUGUUUUAAUUAGCCCCACUAGUUUGCAAGGCAUUGGUCUAUUUUUCAGUGAAAUGUACUGAUUGUGAUAAAAUGCUAUCAAUACAGCAUACGUUAAGUGGAUUGGGGCCAUUCGGCUGAUUAUCCCAAGAAAUGGACAAUAAAGAGCAGCCAUCUACUGGGCAUCGGUAUUUGAUCUGAUACUCUGCUACAUUUUUUAAUAGAUUUGGAAAGUAAAUGACCAGCUGAUCUCAUUAAAGGCACCAUGCUCUGGUAUAAACAAACCCAAUGCCCGUGUUUGAGUCCAACCAAAAACAUUGUCUGUUCCUGUGUUUUGGAAAGCAGUAAGUCAAGAAAGCACCCUCAAGGUCAUAUUAGACAAGCACUCAAACUAUCAAUGCUCCGGCAAAUGGGCAAUGCUCUGGGUGUAGCAAAGCACCAAGCAAGUUUUGUGCUGUUUCCUCACAAAUGCAGGUUCUUCCCUCAGCCUCAACCCUCCCGUGUCAGUUUGCCGAAGCACCUGCAGGGGUCAGAGUACUUUUGAUUCACCAGAAGUUUCCACCAGAAAAACCCCACUGUGAUUUGGAUGAGAGCAGUUUGUAAAAACAGACCGUUUCCUACGAACUUGAAACACAGCCUUUUGGUCAUGUCUUAUUGACGAGGCGCAUGAAGGGUUUUUACCGUCUAUGUAUAGUGUUGCUGAGAUUGCAUUUUGAAUGAGGCAUACAGUUCCUGCGGCUGUAUUUUUAAAACGCUGUUCACAAACCUGAAAUUGUGUGGAGAGGAAUUACAAAAGUGAUUUCAGUGCUAGAGAGGACGCUGCACAAUACAAUACAGUACAUGAUCAGAGACUUGAGUUCAAUCAGCUGAUUAUAAAAAGAUGAAAAGUGAACCAAUUACAGUGUAUUAAUCCUUUCAUGUGGAAAAAUGAACUGGUCUAUGAAAAAUAUGUGGGUAUUUUUCCAGGACUUGUGAACAUAGCCAGCGUGGAAAUCCCAGACAUGUUGGAUUGCAUGCACAGGCGGUUCAAUAUUUCCCAGACAUGCCAGACCUACCCGUCAUGUACUGUACUGAUGUGCAGUAUACUCAAUGCACAAAGAAUUCAUUGGACCUACUGUGCCUGUUUGCUUGUGUGGGAACGAACAAAGAAGUGCUAGAAGCAGUACAAAAACAGAUGAAGAGGAAAGCUAUGGACAGCUUAGAUAAGAAUGUGGUAGGGCCCUGAGAAAAAGAGAGAAAACUUUUGAGCUGACUGCCAAAUGAGAGGGGCUUCAGCGGUGAACAGGAUUAGCGCCCUGCUUCGUACACUGUUUACCCAGGGAUAGCUGCAUUGAAGGGAGCAAAAUAUGGAAAUAUGGAACGAAAAUUUAGGGUUCUUGUCUCCUUAUGCCUUGUGCUUUCAGUACAAGUCACGAAUUGCUUGUGCAUUUGCUUGUGUUUCCCUUUUCUGGCCCCAGGAAUCUAAAUACUUCAAUGCACAGUGGCAUGAAUUCAAUAGGAAAGGUAGGGAAUGCUCCUGCCCCAAACCUGAGAAGUAUUCAUAGGGACAAUGAGGUACUCCUUGGAAGUCAGUAAAUCUGAUAUGUGAUGACUUUACAGUGAAGGUGAAUAUCCCUGCCUUCCCCAGCAAGAAGUAGUAAAGGAUAUUUACAGAGAAAUUCACUCUACCCCUGCUUCUUGCCGUCUCUUGAUUUAUUAGGGGGUCUACUGAUCCAAAUAGCUUAGGAAUAAGAAGAUUCAGCUACUGAAGUGAAAUCCAGCUCUUAAUUUCCCCUAGAAAUAGGUUAGUAAAUACUGCUAAAUACAACUGUGGGAGGAAGAAAAGCAUUCUGAUAAACAGGCUGUAGCAGCUGAAAUUUCCUGGGCUUGUUUCCCUGUAAUGUUAGUGUUGUAUCAAAGCCACAUUUAGGCUGGAUGGAGUUGCAGCAGUAAUGAAGUGGAACUGUACAGCUUUCCUGGUCAUCAUGUAAUGUGGAGCUUCUGCAAAAAAGCUCAACCACACAGUGCUAUGAGAAAACUACUACACCCUUCACUAAUUCCUCAGUCCUCUACUCAUUCCCCUUCCUACUCGUAAAUCCCCCCAUGUGAAAAAUAGGUGAUCAGCAUAAAUCUCCUGAUAAGUCUAUAUUCACCAUAAUGAUAACUGAAAUACAAAUUUCAUUUCAUGGUAUAGGUGAACCUAACAUGCUACCACCCCACCCCUGAAACACUAAGUACAAUAUCAAAAUAUCUUCAUUUCAAUUCAAAAGAUUAUUUCUCAGCUGUGCUGAUAUAUACUGGUAUCUCCAUAUGCAUCUGAAUUUUGGGAACAUUGGUAUUUUAAUACCAAAGUUGUACUUUUUUUCUGUUCUAAUGUUUUGUUUCUUUUCUGUGCCUCAUUGUGUGUUUGUUGCACAUUAAAUUCCUUUUUUAUUCUUUAGUCUGUUAAGAUUGUUUGUAUCAUCUCCUUUAUAGCAGUCUCUUGACAUAAACUUGUAAACGGGUUGUACACAUGAGCAAUCUCUACUCCCAGAAAAAAAGGAUCAAGAUGAAACCUGCCACUAAUGCAAGCAAUGCUGAAUCAGUCUAAACCACAUGGGAAUAAUUUCUCUCUUCUUCAGGGAUACCAUGGACUUACUACAUUAGUCGCUGCAUGGUGUUUCAAAAUCCUUAAAUGGAAAAUGGUGGGAAAUUGAGAAAGCGAAUAUUGGAACUCAUUUUAAUAGAAACAAUCUUUUUAAGAAUUGUUUUGGACAAGUUCAUAAUAAAUAAAUAUCCCAUCA
ensembl:lncRNA